CUCCCAUUUCCGGAAGCCUGGCGCAAGGUUGGUCUGCAGGUGGCCUCCAGGUGCAAAGUGGGAAGUGUGAGUCCUCAGUCUUGGGCUAUUCGGCCACGUGCCUGCCGGACAUGGGACGCUGGAGGGUCAGCAGCGUGGAGUCCUGGCCUUUUGCGUCCACGGGUGGGAAAUUGGCCAUUGCCACGGCGGGAACUGGGACUCAGGCUGCCCCCCGGCCGUUUCUCAUCCGUCCACCGGACUCGUGGGCGCUCGCACUGGCGCUGAUGUAGUUUCCUGACCUCUGACCCGUAUUGUCUCCAGAUUAAAGGUACGACAUUUGGAGGCCCCAGCGAGAAACGUCACCGGGAGAAACGUCACCGGGCGAGAGCCGGGCCCGCUGUGUGCUCCCCCGGAAGGACAGCCAGCUUGUAGGGGGGAGUGCCACCUGAAAAAAAAAUUUCCAGGUCCCCAAAGGGUGACCGUCUUCCGGAGGACAGCGGAUCGACUACCAUGUGGGUGCCCACAAAAAUUCCACCUCUGAGUCCUCAACUGCUGACCCCGGGGUCAGGUCCAGAUUUUGAACAAAUCUCGCUAGAGAUUGAACAGAGCUGCGCCUGGAUCCCGCCACAGUGAGGAGACCUGAAGACCAGAGAAAACACAGCAAGCCCCUGGAUCCUCCUGGAAUCCCCGAUCCCUCUUGCUCCCUGGCAGAGUUUUCUAGUCCCUCUUACUUGAAGCAUGUCUUUCAGAGCCCGGCACCACCCAUCUUGAGUAUCUGAUACCCCAUCAGCCUGAGUCUCUUAAAGGCCUUUAUACACAUAUGUCUACACAUAGGGAUUUGGAUGAUCUCGGGAUCCCACAUCCUCGCUGUCCCCUGUCCCCCCGCAACAUCCCCCACCAAUACCUUUCUGAAGUUUUCUAGUCCCUCCUUUUUGUUUGUGCUCCUUAAAGCCCAGCCCCAUGCCUGACUUUGGUUCCCAGUGAGCAUUGUACAUUUGUGGAUAUUAAAUCUUUGGCAAAGUCAUUUACCUGGGCUGGAA
rnacentral:lncRNA from 1 species